GGGAAAGGUCCAUCAGGAUAGCCUGCUAUCCGGGCCUUCGUGCUGCCUAGGUGUUAUACAGCCCAGGCCUGGUGCACCCCACAAAUUCAAGUAAAAAAAAAUCAUCAGGAAAUUGUCUAAAUCUGUAUAGUUCCUCAUAACAAGUGAUUUGUAUUUCUCAUGGAUACUAAAGGCAACAUCUCUCCAACUAAACAUAUAAAAUCCCAGCAAUCUUUGUUAUAAUUCCAAGCAAAUUAAGUUGGAAUAGAUGAAUAUUUAGUAAUUAAAAUAAUUUGCUUGUAGCAUCAAUCCAUUAUUGGAUAUUUAUUUGUGUUGCAAGAAUGAAA
rnacentral:misc_RNA from 1 species